GGCGUUUGGAGUGAAGGCUGUUCCAAGAUCAUUACCUAGUUCCAUUAAUUUGCAUGUUGAUAUAAUGGUGAAUUAAUCGUCUCGGACCAGGCUUCAUUCCUCACGCG
rnacentral:miRNA from 1 species